AACGAACGCUGGCGGCAUGCCUAACACAUGCAAGUCGAACGAGACCUUCGGGUCUAGUGGCGCACGGGUGCGUAACGCGUGGGAACCUGCCCUUAGGUUCGGAAUAACUCCCCGAAAGGGGUGCUAAUACCGGAUAAUGUCUUCGGACCAAAGAUUUAUCGCCUUUGGAUGGGCCCGCGUUGGAUUAGCUAGUUGGUAGGGUAAAAGCCUACCAAGGCGACGAUCCAUAGCUGGUCUGAGAGGAUGAUCAGCCACACUGGGACUGAGACACGGCCCAGACCCCUACGGGGGGGAGCAGGGGGGAAAAUUGGACAAGGGGCGAAAGCCUGACCCAGCAAUGCCGGGGGGGUGAUGAAGGCCUUAGGGUUGUAAAGCUCUUUUACCCGGGAUGAUAAGGCAAGUACCGGGAAAAAAAGCCCCGGCUAACCCCGU
rnacentral:rRNA from 1 species